AUUGAACGCUGGCGGCAGGCCUAACACAUGCAAGUCGAACGAGUGGCGGACGGGUGAGUAACACGUGGGAACCUACCCAUCAGAGGGGGAUAACACUUUCAAACAGGUGCUAAUACCGCAUACUGAUGGAUGGACCCGCGGUGCAUUAGCUAGUUGGUGCGGUAACGGCUCACCAAGGCCGAGAUGCAUAGCCGGCCUGAGAGGAUUAUCAGCCACACUGGGACUGAGACACGGCCCAGACUCCUACGGGAGGCAGCAGUGGGGAAUAUUGCACAAUGGGCGAAAGCCUGAUGCAGCCAUGCCGCGUGGAUGAAGAAGGCCUUCGGGUUGUAAAGGACUUUCAGUCGGGAGGCGUUACCGACAGAAGAAGCACCGGCUAACUCCGUGCCAGCAGCCGCGGUAAUAC
rnacentral:rRNA from 1 species